UGGGGAAUCUUGGACAAUGGGCGCAAGCCUGAUCCAGCCAUGCCGCGUGAGUGAUGAAGGCCCUAGGGUUGUAAAGCUCUUUCGCCAGGGAAGAUAAUGACGGUACCUGGAUAAGAAGCCCCGGCUAACUCCGUGCCAGCAGCCGCGGUAAUACGGAGGGGGCUAGCGUUGUUCGGAAUUACUGGGCGUAAAGCGCACGUAGGCGGCUAUCCAAGUUGGGGGUGAAAUCCCUGGGCUUAACCCAGGAACUGCCUUCAAAACUGGAUGGCUAGAGUCCGAGAGAGGUGAGUGGAAUUUCCAGUGUAGAGGUGAAAUUCGUAGAUAUUGGAAAGAACACCAGUGGCGAAGGCGGCUCACUGGCUCGGUACUGACGCUGAGGUGCGACAGCGUGGGGAGCAAACAGG
rnacentral:rRNA from 1 species